AUGACUCCGGAAAAAAUGACAUCAGAACUAGUCAUAAUAGAUAACAUGGCUUAGUGAACAAAUCGAAUAGCGAAUUCAUUAUGCUUUUAAACUACAUUCAAUUGAAAGUAGAAAAGGCCAUAGGACAAUGAAGAAGAAGAUGAUUCACAAAUCCUACAUCAUGUUAGCACUUCAAAACCAAUUCAUUAUAAUCUUCCUUAUCCGUGUCAAGUUGCCAACAGUGAGGAUCUUUGACUAGGGCACGUCCCCCAAAUAGGCCUCCCAAAGGGGCCUUGCCGACCCUUAAGAGCUGACUUGAUUGGGAAUUAACCCGAAGGAUCAUACUAUUGCAUGACUUGUUGGGAGUUAUGAGUUUCAAUAGCUAGGACCCCCUGUCCAGAAGCCCUCCCACAAUGACAGCUCCUCCCUUUUUAUCAGUAGGUCUUUUGACCAUCUUCACUGGUGAUCUCCAUUUAUCCUACACUAGUUAACCAUCCACAUCAAGUAAGGAUAUUUCUAAGGGAUAAUUGGUCAAAAAUACCUUAAAAUAGUUUUAUUUUAGUAUAAAAAUUACUUAUAAAAGAUGCUUAAAGCUAAGAUUCAUAUAUGUUAUUUGAGGUUGAGAAGAAAAAUUGGCCCCAUGGACCUUAGCUUUAAACAUCUUUUAAUUAUCUUUAUACUAUAAUGAAAUUAUUUUGAAAAUUUUUUGACCAAAUUACCUCUAUUUUCCAAAACACAACUCUCAAUAAGAUUGAGAUAAGAAGCAUCUAUUCCCAGCUGCCCGAGCUACACCAAGUUUCAACAGUUGUACCAUUGUUAUUAUACAUACGCCUUUUUCCCCUUUUUCUUUUUUCCUCUUUUCCCUUUCGCAUGAUAAAUCCCUCCACAAAUUCCUUAAAACACAGCCUUUCUUGGUAGCGUGCACUUCAGAAAUCAUGAGGAAGAUACACAUGGAAACACGUGUAUGAACACGUACAACUAUAAAGGAACUUUCAGAAUAGUGACAUAACAAUUAACAGGAUGUAACCAUUACCUAAGCAGGAAAACUAUGUCUCCUAAUUUUAUUUUAUUUAUGUAAUUCUUGUAGACAAAACAGAAAUGGAACACAUACUCUUUUUUAGCUAAUUGUAAGGGAGUAAAAUAUACAAUGACAUAGUCUGGUCUUGUUAAGAAAGAGGCCUCCGCCGAGAUAUUGCUAUGAAAGUAAGUUCGAUGGUCCUCUGUGGUGCUCAGUAUAGACACAGUCGAACACAUGCAUUGUCCGAGGUAAGGCUAUCGUUACUUCUUGAGCUAUGCUUAGUUAGAAAGUUUGGAAGAAUAGCUGCGCAGAGCAUUGGACAAGGGCAAACGACGGCAACAAUCCGAGGGAUGUUAGAGGACCAAAGGUAAUUACAACGUCAAAGUUUCUUCGAACAGCCCCAUGUCUGGGACGAAGACUGACCACAUGAUGAACGUUACCAGCCAAGCCAUACAAAGCGUGGGGAGUUCAGCUGCCUACUCACCCAAAUACAGCAGACAGCGUGUUCGAGCAAGAACCGCAAGUCAUCAAUGACAAGACAGUAGCGCACUCCAAGGCAAUGCACCGAGCAUGUUUGUCAUAUAAAUUCAGCCUUUAUUUAUCGAAAAAUGUACAUGAAUUCAAUCCUAGAAGACAUAUACAUCUCUAUGGCAUAUGUUUUUCGGUCAUUUAACUUGACCUUCGUAGAAGCCAUUUUUUAAACAAACAGCCCAGCAGCCGAUCGCACUGUUUAUGUGCUUACAAACAUAGAUCCUUGCCAACUAAUAACUGACUACAGCAACCGCACCAUCGUAAGAUCACUGUAAGUGGCCUAUCCUUAAUUUUCUUCCUUCAUUUUUAUAACCCAUAACACAAUCAUUUUUUUCCACAAGGCAAAAAAAAACUCUAAUGGAACCUCAAUGUAAACGAUGAGGGAGAGGGGUUUCUUCCAAAACACCAGAGAGCAAUGGUUUUUCAAAUAACACAAACCAGCAAAUGAUUGUUUCAUCUACCACUAAAUAAAGAUUAGCUUAGUUUAGCAAUAAAAGUUUGACUAAAACACUAUCAAAGAUGAUUUUUAUGUCAAUAAAAAUACUCCUUUGAUUGAAUUAUAUUCCGUUAAAAGGCCGAGAAAUCAAAACGAAACACCAGAGGGGCAAGGAGCAAAAAACAAAGAUCCAAAACCCUGUGCCAAAGAGAGAGAGAGAUCAUGAUUCAACAAAGCAAUCUUUCAAAGGAUAAAAAACAAACAAAUGCAACUGAUAACCGUAACAUACCAAGAAGAAGGAUGCAACAGCUGCGGUUGCGAGCUCCUUGUCCAAGCAGCGGUUUUUCCUCGAAGAGGUUGCUUCAUAGCUGCAACACAAAUUAUCGUCGUUCAAAAACGCAACUUAUGAGUUUUGAAAAGUGGAGAAAUGUGUAAACGGACACACUUUGAAGUUGUGUGUGGAUCAAAGAUUUGAGGAACUUCUUUCUAUUACCAUUUCUUUUCAGUUCACAAUUCCAAGAUCCAACACAAUUUUUUUAUAUUUUGGAAUUGAAGGGCUCAACAAGGCCUCUCAAAUUCAAUGACUUGUACAAACUUGAUGCAAACUACACGAGCUCUGUGUUUACAUGAACUCGGUUAUGGUACGGGGUGCGGUCGUGCCGUCCAACGUGUCAAACCUUUCUAAACUUAAAUUUUAGAAUAUUAUGAUAUGUGUCCAAAAAUGAGCAUGUCAUGAUUUUUGGUUUUGAUAAAAAGAGUAUUGUCUAUUUUUCCUCUUGUAAAACCAUUGUCAUUCAAUAAUUUGUUUAGCCUAUAUCAUACUCUUGAUGCUUGCUUCAAACCAUAAAGAACUUUGGACAAUUUAAAUACGUAGUUUGGAAAAUCAUGAGUUUUUAACCUGGGAGGUGGUACAACAUACACUUCUUCCGUAAUGUGUCAAUUUAAGAAUGCACUUUUAACAUCCAUUUGAUAGAGUUUAAAGUCCAUGUAUCAUGAAAAUGCAAGUAACAUUCAGAUGGCUUCUAAUCGUGCUACCAGAGCAGAUGAUUAAUCAAAGUUAAUGCCUUUCUCUUGGACUAUAUCCUUCGGGAAAAACAAGUCUAACUUUAAUUCUAAUAAUGAUUUCGAAUUCAUCGCAAAUUAUUUCUAAAUCCCCAUUUAGUACAUAUUUAUAGAAUGAUCACUAGGUCUAGGUACUGAGGUUCACUUUAUUUCUUUCAAAUUAAGUAACCUCUUCUUGUAUUGCUAAUACGCAAUGUUCGUCAAAUCACUUCAUAAAAAUUUAGAUUCGAUUUGAAAUAAGAAAUGCAAAUGGGUACCACAAAUAUUUCUAAUAGAUGGUCUAGUGGUUACCCUUUUUAGGAUCUCAAUAAGGAGAAUUUGUUGGGUGGGUUGUGGGAACUCUAUUUCUUGAAGGCUGAGUUGUUACCACCUUGCUCUGCAAUUCAUUGAGGUAAAAUCACCUCUGGUUGAAGCCUUUCUCAAAAAAAAAAUCUUGAGGCUUCCCAUUUUCUUAAGCUAUCUUUAAGUUUUUGUACUUUCUAUUUUCUCGUCACGAUUUCGAGCAAUAUACUUUUAAAAAAAAAAGUAUAGAAUUCAUAAAAUGCAAUUAUCGAGUGAGGAGGAUGGUGGAGGAUCUCCGCGUGAACAAGAAGUAGGGUUGUGCAAAUAUUCGAUUCCACCAGUCAACCCGGACCGACCUGAACCUAUUCAAACGAAUCCGACCAACUCGGACUCACUAUACGGGUGAAUAACGGAUAGGAUCUUUAACUAAACCCGACAUAUCGGUUUGGGGGUGUCAGGUCAUUCAAUCGCCCAACCCGGACAAAAAAUAUACUUAGAAUUCACAAUUUUCACCCAACCCAUAAAAUUUUACCCGAAGCGACCCCAACUCGACCAUCUAUUGGAUCGGAUCGGGCUAAAUUUCUCCAAUCUUACCCAGUUGGAUCAGGUGUCGGGUGACUCCAAACCCGACCCGCCCGAUCGACACAUGAACGGAUCUACAAGAGUGGUCGGCAGCUUUUUAAAACACGUCACUGUUGAUCCUUGACAUCCCAAUUCCACAGGCAAUAUCAAAGUGACAAGGUUUUCUUACUGUUUUUUGUUUUCUUUCUUUAAUGGAAGCCACCUUCUUUGACUUUGUUUCUUUAUUUUAUUCAAAGUAACCUUUCACACUUCUCCAUUUAAAAUUCGUGGAGGAAAAGUGGUUAAGGUGAAGGCCCACCCGAUACCCGAGCAUCCGGGUCGGGUUGGGUGGCUCUUGUUGGGGAUGCGGCGGGUACGCGACCAAAUGUUCCGGGGAGGGAACAUAUUUUGUGACCAAGAGCGAUCGGAUGUGUUGGAAAUUUAACUGUAUGACGAUGUCUUCAAAUACAGUAAAUAUUGUAUAUUUCGAGGUACGUUACUAUAUUUUUUUCUUAAUAACAGUAUUUGCCCUUACUAAAUGAUGUGCACGAGUUACAAUAAAUCUGCUUUCAAGAUAUAAUGAAGCUCGAACUCUAAAUUCUUACCGUUUGUAUUUGCAAAACAAUAUAGUCAGAAUAUCUGCGUAAAAUUGUAAAACAUAUGAAUGCGUCAAUGUUUAGCUUUUUUAAACAUUUGACGUGAUAUUUUUUAAAAUUUCUCACCCACCCCACCAUCAUUGACUGAGACACCCCCUCCUCAAGAGAGAGAGUUGAGCCAAAACUAUUAUCGCGAAUUUGGGCGACUCUCAUGGCUGUGCGGCAGCAACAACUGCUUGUGACGACAACAAUGCAACUGUUCUCUCUCUCUCUCCACAUGUGUCCACGCACGCUGUUUAUCUACAAGUAUGUGGGUGAUCGGUGAUAGGUUUGGGUCGGUAGUAAGGUGGAGAGGAUUGGGUUUUAGGUUAUGGGUUUUGGUUUCAGAUCUUAGGUAUUGGGUUUUGUGCUGACAUGGCGCCAUGUGUAGCAUUCUGUCAACACUUUGGUUGGAGUUAGCAAUUGGUUUCAAUUAGAAGUAAAUUUAUAAGUUAAGGACCCAUGUUACAAGAUUAAUUGUUUUGAGGGCCAAAAU
rnacentral:lncRNA from 1 species